UAUGUCACAAUGAAGUAUUAUUUACCUUAGGGUUAUCCUUAUAAUAAAUAUAGGUAUAUAAUGUUUAUACAUUUUUUAAGAAUGCAAUUGAAAAUGAAAAAGAAACUGAAGUUGCACUAUUAAUCAGAAGUAAAUGCCAUAUUGAUGAUGAUAAUCACCGGAAUAAAUAUGUACCUGACCACAAACAUUCUGUUGAAGUAUCGGGAAUAUCGUCACUUAUGAAUAUGUCUAAUCUGUCUGAAAACAUACCUUCAGAGAUCUAUAUAGAUGUUCAACAAUUGUUUCCUGAUGAUACUACUCAACACAUACAGGUCGCGGCAGCGCUGACUGACUCUGACGUGGGAGAUUUUUCACCUAGUGAUGAGUCGGACUUUGAUCCAAAAAAAGCGGGCUAUGAUAGCUAUGAUAGCUUAAAUAAGUCUUUUAACGAUGAAUAUAAUGACGACCCAGUCGUUCAGUUGAAAAAAAAUUGCAAUAGACAAGUAAAACAGUUACAAGAAAGAAACACACAAGUCAAUAGUGGGGAAAGUAGCCAGAACUUAUCGACU